UACAGAGGGUGCGAGCGUUAAUCGGAAUUACUGGGCGUAAAGCGUGCGUAGACGGUUACAUAAGUCGGGUGUGAAAGCCCCGGGCUCAACCUGGGAAUUGCAUUCGAGACUGCGUAGCUAGGGUGCGGAAGAGGGAAGCGGAAUUUCUGGUGUAGCAGUGAAAUGCGUAGAUAUCAGAAGGAACAUCAGUGGCGAAGGCGGCUUCCUGGACCAAUACUGACGAUCAGGUGCGAAAGCGUGGGGAGCAAACAGG
rnacentral:rRNA from 1 species